GCUAGAGCUAUAUCACCCUGUAGCUUUCGCCUGGUGUCCCACUGAAGCUAAAGCAGGGUUGAGCCUGGACCGUACCUGGAUAGGAGAUCUCCUGGGGAAAACGAAGGUUGCUGCUGGAA
rnacentral:rRNA from 1 species